AGUGAACGCUGGCGGCGUGCUUAACACAUGCAAGUCGAACGAGAACGGGUUAUAGCUUGCUAUAAUUGUCAGCUAAGUGGCGCACGGGUGAGUAAUGUAUAGGUAAUAUGCCUCUUACUAAGGGAUAACAAAUGGAAACGUUUGCUAAUACCUUAUACUCCUUAUUAACAUAAGUUAAUAAGGGAAAGAUUUAUUGGUAAGAGAUUAGCCUGUAUUGUAUCAGUUAGUUGGUGGGGUAAUGGCUUACCAAGACUAUGACACAUAACUGGUUUGAGAGGAGGAGCAGUCACACUGGGAAUGAGACACGGUCCAGACUCCUACGGGAGGCAGCAGUGGGGAAUAUUGCACAAUGGACGAAAGUCUGAUGCAGCAACGCCGCGUGGAGGAUGACACAUUUCGGUGCGUAAACUCCUUUUAUAUGAGAAGAUAAUGACGGUAUUAUAUGAAUAAGCACCGGCUAACUCCGUGCCAGCCGCCGCAGUAA
rnacentral:rRNA from 1 species